rnacentral:misc_RNA from 1 species
GAUGAAGAACGCAGUGAAAUGCGAUAAGUAAUGUGAAUUGCAGAAUUCAGUGAAUCAUCGAAUCUUUGAACGCAUCUUGCGCUCCUUGGUAUUCUGAGGAGCAUGCCUGUUUGAGUGUCAUUAAAUUCUCAACUACACUGACUUUGAAUUGGUGUGGCUUGGAUUUGGGGGGAAAAUUGUUGUGGGCUUUUUGUAUAGUCUGCUCCCCUGAAAUUGAUUAGCGGUACCUUUGUGGAACUGUCUACAGGUGUGAUAAUUAUCUACAUCUUAGACAUCUGCUGGAAUGCUGCUUUCUAAACCUUACUUGUAUUGACAAUCUUGACCUCAAAUCAGGUAGGACUACCCGCUGAACUUAAGCAUAUCAAUAAGCGAGGA